rnacentral:misc_RNA from 1 species
GAUGAAGAACGUAGCGAAAUGCGAUAAGUAAUGCGAAUUGCAGAUUUCAGUGAGUCAUCGAAUCUUUGAACGCACAUUGCGCCCGCCAGUAUUCUGGCGGGCAUGCCUGUUCGAGCGUCAUUUCAACCAUCAAGCCCCAGGCUUGCGUUGGAGCCCUGCGGCUGCCGCAGCCUCCUAAAAGCAGUGGCGGGCUCGCUAUCACACCGAGUGCAGUAGAUUACUCUUCGCUCAGGGCGUGCAGCGGGUUCCGGCCGUGAAACCCCCUACUUUUAAAGGUUGACCUCGGAUCAGGUAGGAAUACCCGCUGAACUUAAGCAUAUCAAUAAGCGGAGGA